UACCCAUCUGUCAGGUGAUACACUGAGC
rnacentral:piRNA from 1 species